UUUGUGAGGCCGUGAAUAUUUUGGA
rnacentral:piRNA from 1 species